rnacentral:sRNA from 1 species
AUUUAUCUGUUGUGUUCGUGCUUGAUUUAUUUCCCUGAGCCGAUUAUGUAUAGAAAAGGAGAUGAGAUUGGUUGCUUUUGUGUAUGCCCACCUUGAAGUGGGAAACCUACGGUAAACAUCGAACUUCCG